rnacentral:rRNA from 1 species
GCGCGCGAUACAGGGUGACAGCCCCGUACACAAAAAUGCACAUGCUGUGAGCUCGAUGAGUAGGGCGGGACACGUGGUAUCCUGUCUGAAUAUGGGGGGACCAUCCUCCAAGGCUAAAUACUCCUGACUGACCGAUAGUGAACCAGUACCGUGAGGGAAAGGCGAAAAGAACCCCGGCGAGGGGAGUGAAAAAGAACCUGAAACCGUGUACGUACAAGCAGUGGGAGCACGCUUAGGCGUGUGACUGCGUACCUUUUGUAUAAUGGGUCAGCGACUUAUAUUCUGUAGCAAGGUUAACCGAAUAGGGGAGCCGAAGGGAAACCGAGUCUUAACUGGGCGUUAAGUUGCAGGGUAUAGACCCGAAACCCGGUGAUCUAGCCAUGGGCAGGUUGAAGGUUGGGUAACACUAACUGGAGGACCGAACCGACUAAUGUUGAAAAAUUAGCGGAUGACUUGUGGCUGGGGGUGAAAGGCCAAUCAAACCGGGAGAUAGCUGGUUCUCCCCGAAAGCUAUUUAGGUAGCGCCUCGUGAAUUCAUCUCCGGGGGUAGAGCACUGUUUCGGCAAGGGGGUCAUCCCGACUUACCAACCCGAUGCAAACUGCGAAUACCGGAGAAUGUUAUCACGGGAGACACACGGCGGGUGCUAACGUCCGUCGUGAAGAGGGAAACAACCCAGACCGCCAGCUAAGGUCCCAAAGUCAUGGUUAAGUGGGAAACGAUGUGGGAAGGCCCAGACAGCCAGGAUGUUGGCUUAGAAGCAGCCAUCAUUUAAAGAAAGCGUAAUAGCUCACUGGUCGAGUCGGCCUGCGCGGAAGAUGUAACGGGGCUAAACCAUGCACCGAAGCUGCGGCAGCGACGCUUAUGCGUUGUUGGGUAGGGGAGCGUUCUGUAAGCCUGUGAAGGUGUGCUGUGAGGCAUGCUGGAGGUAUCAGAAGUGCGAAUGCUGACAUAAGUAACGAUAAAGCGGGUGAAAAGCCCGCUCGCCGGAAGACCAAGGGUUCCUGUCCAACGUUAAUCGGGGCAGGGUGAGUCGACCCCUAAGGCGAGGCCGAAAGGCGUAGUCGAUGGGAAACAGGUUAAUAUUCCUGUACUUGGUGUUACUGCGAAGGGGGGACGGAGAAGGCUAUGUUGGCCGGGCGACGGUUGUCCCGGUUUAAGCGUGUAGGCUGGUUUUCCAGGCAAAUCCGGAAAAUCAAGGCUGAGGCGUGAUGACGAGGCACUACGGUGCUGAAGCAACAAAUGCCCUGCUUCCAGGAAAAGCCUCUAAGCAUCAGGUAACAUCAAAUCGUACCCCAAACCGACACAGGUGGUCAGGUAGAGAAUACCAAGGCGCUUGAGAGAACUCGGGUGAAGGAACUAGGCAAAAUGGUGCCGUAACUUCGGGAGAAGGCACGC